UACGUAGGGUGCGAGCGUUAAUCGGAAUUACUGGGCGUAAAGCGUGCGCAGGCGGUUUGAUAAGUCAGAUGUGAAAGCCCCGGGCUCAACCUGGGAACUGCGUUUGAAACUGUCAAGCUAGAGUAUGGGAGAGGGAGGUAGAAUUCCACGUGUAGCAGUGAAAUGCGUAGAGAUGUGGAGGAAUACCAAUGGCGAAGGCAGCCUCCUGGCCUAAUACUGACGCUCAUGCACGAAAGCGUGGGGAGCAAACAGG
rnacentral:ncRNA from 2 species